CUCUGGCACACACACCCCUUCACACCUCCUCUCCAAGCCCCCUUGAGACUGCUCGCUUCUAAGAACCCCAUGACUGGAAAUACUAAUGUUUGAGUCAUUCCCAAGCACUGCCUUUCACUGAUAACUUAGAGCUGCUCAUCAGCUAGAAACAUUUCCCCGGUCUGAGUUGGAAGACAGUAAAUAAACCCAGGCAGCAGGAGGCAAUGAAGUGCCUGGAGUCAGUGGAAGGUUCUGGUAUUUUCCGAUCAGGAGCCUCCUUCUGCAUGUGGAGGAGUAAGAGCCAGACUCAAGAAUGAAGAACUUCAGCUCUCCUCAGAAACAUGAGCAUGACAUUUAAGUGGUAGGAGGAGAUGCGACAAGUAAGGAGACUCCAUGAUCCAUCUUCAGUUGCUGACCUGGCUGAACAGUUCCCUUCCUCCCACUGCGUUCCAGAAGAUUUCCAUGAGAUUCUACUCUUCCCAAGAAGGCCUCAAGCACCUAAUCUGCUGAGGAAAGGCUCUGAUAUGGCGUGUCUUUCCACCUCUCUCGCUCCCAUAAAAAGCGCUCCUUCCAAGAUAUAUACGGCAGGAAUGAAGAUUGGAUCAGGUCUUCUCAACUUUGUUCAUUCGCAGGUCUACAGUCAUAAUUGUCUUCUGACUAAUGAGCCCCGAAGCCCUACAGAAUCCUGAAUUAUUCAAAGAAAAUUAAAAUAUUUUCCCUCUCCUGUAUCUCCAAGACUUCUCCCCACCCCCCAAAACAGUCUGUGAACAGAAAGCUUGAAAUAAAUUUUCUUCUUAGUUGGCGCUAAGCAGAACAGCCAAAACGGCAACAA